AGAGUUUGAUCAUGGCUCAGAUUGAACGCUGGCGGCAGGCCUAACACAUGCAAGUCGAGCGGUAACACAGAGAGCUUGCUCUCGGGUGACGAGCGGCGGACGGGUGAGUAAUGUCUGGGAAACUGCCUGAUGGAGGGGGAUAACUACUGGAAACGGUAGCUAAUACCGCAUAACGUCGCAAGACCAAAGUGGGGGACCUUCGGGCCUCAUGCCAUCAGAUGUGCCCAGAUGGGAUUAGCUAGUAGGUGGGGUAACGGCUCACCUAGGCGACGAUCCCUAGCUGGUCUGAGAGGAUGACCAGCCACACUGGAACUGAGACACGGUCCAGACUCCUACGGGAGGCAGCAGUGGGGAAUAUUGCACAAUGGGCGCAAGCCUGAUGCAGCCAUGCCGCGUGUGUGAAGAAGGCCUUCGGGUUGUAAAGCACUUUCAGCGGGGAGGAAGGCGAUAAGGUUAAUAACCUUGUCGAUUGACGUUACCCGCAGAAGAAGCACCGGCUAACUCCGUGCCAGCAGCCGCGGUAAUACGGAGGGUGCAAGCGUUAAUCGGAAUUACUGGGCGUAAAGCGCACGCAGGCGGUCUGUCAAGUCGGAUGUGAAAUCCCCGGGCUUAACCUGGGAACUGCAUUCGAAACUGGCAGGCUAGAGUCUUGUAGAGGGGGGUAGAAUUCCAGGUGUAGCGGUGAAAUGCGUAGAGAUCUGGAGGAAUACCGGUGGCGAAGGCGGCCCCCUGGACAAAGACUGACGCUCAGGUGCGAAAGCGUGGGGAGCAAACAGGAUUAGAUACCCUGGUAGUCCACGCCGUAAACGAUGUCGAUUUGGAGGUUGUGCCCUUGAGGCGUGGCUUCCGGAGCUAACGCGUUAAAUCGACCGCCUGGGGAGUACGGCCGCAAGGUUAAAACUCAAAUGAAUUGACGGGGGCCCGCACAAGCGGUGGAGCAUGUGGUUUAAUUCGAUGCAACGCGAAGAACCUUACCUGGUCUUGACAUCCACAGAACUUUCCAGAGAUGGAUUGGUGCCUUCGGGAACUGUGAGACAGGUGCUGCAUGGCUGUCGUCAGCUCGUGUUGUGAAAUGUUGGGUUAAGUCCCGCAACGAGCGCAACCCUUAUCCUUUGUUGCCAGCGGUCCGGCCGGGAACUCAAAGGAGACUGCCAGUGAUAAACUGGAGGAAGGUGGGGAUGACGUCAAGUCAUCAUGGCCCUUACGACCAGGGCUACACACGUGCUACAAUGGCAUAUACAAAGAGAAGCGACCUCGCGAGAGCAAGCGGACCUCAUAAAGUAUGUCGUAGUCCGGAUUGGAGUCUGCAACUCGACUCCAUGAAGUCGGAAUCGCUAGUAAUCGUAGAUCAGAAUGCUACGGUGAAUACGUUCCCGGGCCUUGUACACACCGCCCGUCACACCAUGGGAGUGGGUUGCAAAAGAAGUAGGUAGCUUAACCUUCGGGAGGGCGCUUACCACUUUGUGAUUCAUGACUGGGGUGAAGUCGUAACAAGGUAACCGUAGGGGAACCUGCGGUUGGAUCACCU
rnacentral:rRNA from 1 species